GGAAUCUUCCACAAUGGGCGCAAGCCUGAUGGAGCAACGCCGCGUGAGUGAUGAAGGCCUUCGGGUUGUAAAACUCUGUCUUCUGUGACGAACAAGCCUGUGAGUGGAAAACUCAGGCCCUGACGGUAACAGAGGAGGAAGCCACGGCUAACUACGUGCCAGCAGCCGCGGUAAUACGUAGGUGGCAAGCGUUGUCCGGAAUCACUGGGCGUAAAGCGCGCGCAGGCGGCGAUCUACGUCUGGGGUGAAAGCCCGGAGCUCAACUCCGGGACUGCCUUGGAUACGGGAUCGCUUGAGGAUUGGAGAGGCAAGGGGAAUUCCACGUGUAGCGGUGAAAUGCGUAGAUAUGUGGAGGAACACCUGUGGCGAAGGCGCCUUGCUGGCCAAUUUCUGACGCUGAGGCGCGAAAGCGUGGGGAGCAAACA
rnacentral:rRNA from 1 species